rnacentral:rRNA from 1 species
GAUGAACGCUGGCGGCGUGCCUAAUACAUGCAGGUCGAACGAGGUAUCUUUGUAGCAAUACGAGGGUAUCCUAGUGGCGAACGGGUGAGUAACGCGUUGGUGACCUACCCCAAAGUCUGGGAUAACCCCGCGAAAGCGGGGCUAAUACCGGAUGUGGUCAUCGGGAUUAGAAUCCGAUGUCUAAAGGAGCAAUUCGCUUUGGGAGGGGCCUGCGUCCCAUCAGCUAGUUGGUAGGGUAAUGGCCUACCAAGGCUUCGACGGGUAGGGGACCUCAGAGGGUGGCCCCCCACAAUGGAACUGAAACACGGUCCAUACACCUACGGGUGGCAGCAGUAGGGAAUAUUGCACAAUGGGCGAAAGCCUGAUGCAGCAACGCCGCGUGCGCGAAGAAGGUCUUCGGAUCGUAAAGCGCUUUUCUGGGAGAUGAGAAAGGACAGUAUCCCAGGAAUAAGUCUCGGCUAACUACGUGCCAGCAGCCGCGGUAAAACGUAGGAGGCGAG